UAAGGCCUAGGAACUUCAAACUUGGUAUGGUGAUUUUGUCAUGAUCAGUAGAUGACCCCUAUUGAUUUUGGGGUCAAGGGGUCAAAGGUCAAGGUCACAUUGACCUUGUAAGCAAAAACGGUUUCCGAUCAAUAACUAAAGAACCUUAAGGCCUAGGAACUUCAAACUUGGUAUGGUGAUUUGUCAUGAUCAGUAGAUGACCCCUAUUGAUUUUGGGGUCAAGGGGUCAAAGGUCAAGGUCACAUUGACCUUGUAAGCAAAAACGGUUUCCGAUCAAUAACUAAAGAACCUUAAGGCCUAGGAACUUCAAACUUGGUAUGGUGAUUUGUCAUGAUCAUUAGAUGACCCCUAUUGAUUUUGGGGUCAAGGGGUCAAAGGUCAAGGUCACAUUGACCUUGUAAGCAAAAACGGUUUCCGAUCAAUAACUAAAGAACCUUAAGGCCUAGGAACUUCAAACUUGGUAUGGUGAUUGGUCAUGAUCAGUAGAUGACCCCUAACAAUUUUGGGGUCAAGGGGUCAAAGGUCAAGGUCACAUUGACCUCUUGGGUAAAAACGGUUUCCGAUCAAUAACAAAAGAACCCUUAGGCCUAGGAACUUCAGACUUGGUAUGGUGAUUGGUUAUGACCAGCAGAUGACCCCUAUUGAUUUUAGGGUUUAGUGGUCAAAGGUCAAGGUCACAUUGACCUUGAAGGUAAAAACGGUUUCCGAUCAAUAACGAAAGAACCCUUAGGCCUAGGGACUUCAAACUUGAUAUGGUGAUUGGUCAUGAUCAGUAGAUGACCCCUAUUGAUUUUGGAGUUAAGGGGUCAAAGGUCAAGGUCACAUUGACCUUGUAGGUAAAAACGGUUUCCGAUCAAUAACGAAAGAACCCUUAGGCCUAGGGACUACAAACUUGAUAUGGUGAUUGGUCAUGAUCAGUAGAUGACCCCUUUUGAUUUUGGGGUCAAGGGGUCAAAGGUCAAGGUCACAUUGACCUCUUAGGUAAAAACAGUUUCGGAUCAAUAAUUAAAGAACCCUUAGGCCUAGGAAGUUCAAACUUGGUAUGGUGAUUGGUCAUGAUCAGUAGAUGACCCCUAUUGAUUUUGGGGUCAAGGGGUCAAAGGUCAAGGUAACAUUGACCUCUUAGGUAAAAGCAGUUUCCGAUCAAUAACUAAAGAACCCUUAGGCCUAGGAACUUCAAACUUGGUAUGGUGAUUGGUCAUGACCAGCAGAUGACCCCUACUGAUUUUGGGGUUAAGGGGUCAAAGGGAAAGGUCACAUUGACCUUGUAGGUAAAAAUGCUUUCCGAUCAAUAACUUAAGAACCCUUAGGCUUAGGAACUUCAAACUUGGUAUGGUGAUUGGUCAUGACCAGCAGAUGACCUAUUGUUUUUAGGGUCAAGGGGUCAAAGGUCAUGUAACAUUGACCUUGUAGGGAAAAACAGUUGCCGAUCAAUUAACUAAAAACGCUUAGGCCUAGGAACUUCAAACUUUGUAUGAUGAUUGGUGGUGACCAGCAGAUGACCCCUAUUGAGUUUUGGGUCAAGGGGUCAAAGGUCAAGGUCACAUCGACCUUGUAAGUAAAAACGGUUUCUGAUCAAUAACUUAAGAACGCUUAGGCCUAGGAACUUCAAACUUGGUAUGGUGAUUUUUCAUGACCAGCAGAUUACCCCUUUCGAUUUUGGGAUCAAGGGGUCAAAGGUCAAGGUCACAUUGACCUUGUAUGUUAAAACGGUUUCGGAUCAAUAAUAAAAGAACCCUUAGGCCUAGGAACUUCAAACUUGGCAUGGUGAUUAGUCAUGACCAGCAAAUGACCCCUAUUGAUUUUGGGGUCAAGGGGUCAAAGGUCAAGGUCACAUUGACCUUGUAAGUAAAAACGGUUUCUGAUCAAU